rnacentral:rRNA from 1 species
ACGAACGCUGGCGGCGUGCCUAAAACAUGCAAGUCGAACGGUGCUCGCAAGGGCACAGUGGCGAACGGCUGAGUAACACGUGAGUGACCUGUCCUUGGGUGGGGGAUAACAGUCCGAAAGGAUUGCUAAUACCGCAUAAGUCCUCUGGGGUAGAGCCUGGAGGGGAAAGGUAUUUCGCCCGAGGAGGGGCUCGCGGCCCAUCAGGUAGUUGGUGAGGUAACGGCUCACCAAGCCGAUGACGGGUAGCUGGUCUGAGAGGAUGGCCAGCCAGACUGGGACUGAGACACGGCCCAGACUCCUACGGGAGGCAGCAGUUAGGAAUCUUGCGCAAUGGGGGAAACCCUGACGCAGCGACGCCGCGUGGGUGAUGAAGGCCUUAGGGUCGUAAAGCACUUUUCCGAGGGACGAUAAUGACGGUACCUCGGGAAUAAGCCCCGGCUAACUACGU